UGGGGAAUAUUGCACAAUGGGGGAAACCCUGAUGCAGCGACGCCGCGUGAACGAAGAAGGUAUUCGUAUCGUAAAGUUCUGUCCUAUGGGAAGAUAAUGACAGUACCAUAGAAGAAAGCUCCGGCUAAAUACUUGCCAGCAGCCGCGGUAAUACGUAUGGAGCGAGCUUUGUCGGGAAUUAUUGGGCGUAAAGGGUACGCAGGCGGUUUAAUAAGUCGAAUGUUAAAGAUCGGGGCUCAACCCCGUAAAGCAUUGGAAACUGAUAAACUUGAGUAGUGGAGAGGAAAGUGGAAUUCCUAGUGUAGUGGUGAAAUACGUAGAUAUUAGGAGGAAUACCAGUAGCGUAGGCGACUUUCUGGACACAAACUGACGCUGAGGUACGAAAGCGUGGGGAGCAAACAGG
rnacentral:rRNA from 1 species